rnacentral:lncRNA from 1 species
CCACCUUACUGGGCAGGCUGGUUGGAGUUUCUCCACAGACCCUCCUCCCACCUGCCUCUCUCAAUUGGUUACAGCUGGUGUCAGGGAAAGGCAAUUUCCCAGAAGAUAGAAACACCUGAAACUGAUGUAGCUUCCCAAUAAGAUCUCAGGAGUUGGGCAAGUAAGCUCAAGCAAGUGCAUUAAGCGUCAAAGUGGUGGAAUUUAACUGGUAUAUGACAUUGCACAGGUAAGUGAAGAAUGCUUCAAGAGAGCGCGGAGAAAACGCUGGUGAGCAUGCAUAAAACGCUGGUAAACGCACCGCGCAUGCUCCCCUCCCACGGGCUAGCAAGGCCAUUGCACGUAGGGACAGCACACUGCAAGGAGAGAAUCGGGGAGAAGGAAUGCAAGACCCUGGAAGCAUACCAACGUAUAAAACUCCAAGCCAAAAGGAGGCAGCUGCAAAUGGUUGGCAAUCAGUGCCCUUGAUUGUGGAUACACUGAAUUUCUGUAAGUGCAAUCAUUAGUUCUCUUAUAAACUCUUACCUGUUUCUUCAUCUUUGAACUCUUCUGACAUUUCAGUUACUUUCCUAUAAAUUUUAGAAUUGUUGAAGGUACCUUCAGAAACACCUUGAAUCCAGUAGUGUUUUCAAGUGGGACAAUGCUUUUAUCAUGUAAAUCUAUUUUGGAAUUUUCCUUAAGGAAAAAAGAAUAUUACCACUGCAAAAAAUAAUAAUGUUUUGCCUGAAGUAUAAUAUCUAAUGGAUUUCAACAGGGCUUGUAUCUUGAUUGAUACAGAGAUACUUUAGAAUAGCAUUACAAAAGGAAACCUCCAGGAACAUGCUUCACUUAGCGGCUACAGUUUCAAUUUCCUUUUCAACUAUUUACAUUUAUGAAUCUUUCAGAAAACAAUAACUGUUCACAUUUGCAGUGAGCUCUUUUAUUCAUUAGUUACAUUCAGUGAACAAUGUUUUAUAAUUUCAUCAGCUACUUGCAUUUCCCGAAUAAAUGGAAAACAGCACAAAUGAGCAAACAGAUAAAGAAAAUGUAAAUAGUGCCAGAGAAAGUCAGAUACUGAAAAAUAAGGAUAGAUAAAUGACAUGAAGGAGUCUCUAGGCUGGUCAAUGCAUUUACCUGAGGAUGUUAGUACAUAGUUAAGGUAUUAUUCAAUCACUUUUAUGUACUUUAUGAGAAAAAUGUAUUUUGAAAAGUAACAUUAUAUUUUUGAUUUUUUUUGCCUUUAGUUUUAUAUAAAAUGCUUUGGAGG